rnacentral:lncRNA from 1 species
AAGGAAGCAAAUUUCUAUUAGCCACUUAAGAGCAGAAUGGCGUUUCCUAACCGAAUCUUAAUGCUUGAUUAAUUAAGUGGAUGGGCUCACCUGUUUGUUAUUCUAGCGCAAUUCUGCUACUAUGUUUUAAUAGAAUCGUUUGGAUGGGUAAAACUCGACAUCUAAUGUUUAUUGUCAACAUCUGGGAGAGAUCGGCCGAUAGUGAAGAGCAUUUCCGGUCCAUGUGCCAACGAAGUAUCCCAGAUACACGUCGUUUCACAGUUUGUUGGUUGCAAGUAAAUAUAGAUGACACAAAAAAGUUGAGCGAAAAAAAAAGAAAGAAAAAAGAUGUAGACUUCCGCUAUGCUCCCG